AUCGCUUCUCGGCCUUUUGGCUAAGAUCAAGUGUAGAAAUGUUUGCAAAUGUGAUUUUAUGAGCACACAGUGCAAGGAAAAAAUUACACAUUUAUGCCUCUUAAAUUCUUAAUUAAAUACUCUUAAUUAAAUUCUUUUAAUUUCUGGAUAAACCAGU
ensembl:snRNA U2 U2 spliceosomal RNA